GACAGAGGGUGCAAACGUUGCUCGGAAUUACUGGGCGUAAAGCGUGCGCAGGCGGUUCUAUAAGACAGAUGUGAAAUCCCCGGGCUCAACCUGGGAACUGCAUUUGUGACUGUAGAGCUGGAGUACGGUAGAGGGGGAUGGAAUUCCGCGUGUAGCAGUGAAAUGCGUAGAUAUGCGGAGGAACACCGAUGGCGAAGGCAAUCCCCUGGACCUGUACUGACGCUCAUGCACGAAAGCGUGGGGAGCAAACAGG
rnacentral:rRNA from 1 species